rnacentral:rRNA from 1 species
AUGAAUGCUCUAUCACAGUUGUUGGGCUGUAAUAUUGGUACAUUGCCACAUAAAUAUCUGGGUCUCCCUUUGUGUCACAUUAAGCCAAAGAUUGUGGACUUUCUCCCUAUGUUAAAGAGAAUUGAAUCAAGACUCCUGAGCUGCUCCACUUUGCUAUCCUCUGGAGACAAUCUGACCCUCAUCAAAUCAGUGUUCACAAGCAUGCCAACUUUUUUCAUGUGUACCCUCUGGAUACCCAAAACAGUAGUCAAGCAGAUCAAUACAUAUCUUAUGAAAUGUUUCUGGAGGAAAUUUGGUAUCCAGGAAAGAGGAUCAGUACUGGUUUCAUGGAAGAAAGUCUGUUUACCCAAAUCCCAUGGUGGAUUGGCAGUCCUGCAUAUCCAUAUACACAAUCAGACUCUACUUAUGAAAUUACUACACAAAUUCUUUAAUUAG